GGCCUGGUGGCGCAAUGGUAGCGCGUUACUUUCCGGUUCACAUGCUCGCAUGGUAAAGGUUCUGGGUUCGAGUCCCAGCUGGGUCG